rnacentral:rRNA from 1 species
UACGUAGGGCGCAAGCGUUGUCCGGAAUUAUUGGGCGUAAAGAGCUCGUAGGCGGCCUGUCGCGUCUGCUGUGAAAUCCCGGGGCUCAACCCCGGGCCUGCAGUGGAUACGGGCUGGCUGGAGGCAGGCAGGGGAGAACGGAAUUCCUGGUGUAGCGGUGAAAUGCGUAGAGACCCGGAGGAACACCAGUGGCGAAGGCGGCGUCCUGGCCUGCGACUGACGCUGUGGCGCGAAAGCUAGGGGAGCGAACGGG